GCUCCAACCACUACCACCCCGCAAUACCUACAUCAAUGGAUAGAGCUCCUCAAGACCUAGCUAUUGAUGUCAAUUUCACCCUGAAAAUCCGGCGACCAAAAUCAGGCCAAAUUCCGGCGACCUCCCCGAACACCCUCUUUUGGCAUACCACCAUUUUUUCGGCCACUUGAAUUGUAAAAUGGUAAUCCUUUAAGACUCGUAAUGUACGUAUUUUCAGCAAUGAAAACAACUUGAACAUGUUGCACCAUUUAAAUGUGUUUGAUAUGAUGAAUAGCUUGACAACAAAAGAGCUUGUAUGUUAUUGUUAUGUAUCAAGCAUGUGAUAAUGUGAAUAUAGUCCUUCAUAAUACUUGAAUAUUGAGUUGUAAGUUUUUGAAUGUGAUAUGUAAGUCGUUUAUGGAUUUUUUAAGCA